UAUAUUAUAGUUUAUAAAAAUAUUAAAUUGCAAAUUUAAAGAAAUUUAUGUAAUAAAUUAAUAUAU
rnacentral:tRNA from 1 species